rnacentral:rRNA from 1 species
AGCGUGGAGACAGGUGGUGCAUGGCUGUCGUCAGCUCGUGUCGUGAGAUGUUGGGUUAAGUCCCGCAACGAGCGCAACCCUCACCCCUUGUUGCCAUCAGGUUAUGCUGGGCACUCUAGGGGAACUGCCCCGGUCAACGGGGAGGAAGGCGGGGGUGACGUCAAGUCAUCAUGCCCCUUACGUCCUGGGCUACACACGUGCUACAAUGGCCGGUACAAAGGGAUGCAACACCGCGAGGUAGAGCUAAAUCCAAAAAGCCGGUCUAAGUUCAGAUUGGAGUCUGCAACCCGACUCCAUGAAGGAGGAAUCGCUAGUAAUCGCGUAUCAGCACGACGCGGUGAAUACGUUCCCGGGCCUUGUACACACCGCCCGUCACACCACGAAAGCCAGCUGUACUCGAAGUCGCUGAG